ACUUGAGCAAAUAUAGCACCUUCCUUCAGAUAACAUGUUGUUACAAAUACGGAGCUGCCCAUAGUUUAGCCAUCGCUUGCCUAGAUAGCACGUGAAAAGCUUCUAAUAUCAGCUGUGAACCGUCUGCAAGAUGAACAUCAAGUUUUUCCUCGCUGUUGCUUUGGUCUGCCUGGCAGUCUCCACCACCACUGCAGCGCCCCAAAAGAGGGACGGUGGGUGCGCGCUUGGAGGAAACGUUGCUUGUGCGGCCCAUUGUUACCUUCAGAACAAACAGGGAGGCACGUGUGAUGAAAACGAUGUCUGCAACUGCAGUGUGGAGAAUGUCAUAGGUUGAUCUUCCCAAAGACCAGGGAAUUCACAGCCUUCUGAUGAAACUUUUUGUGAAGUGGAAGGAACUUUUAAGUGAUAUUUCCUGUAAACUAUAUUAUAAUAAAAUUGUGAAAAA